rnacentral:rRNA from 1 species
CCUACGGGAGGCAGCAGUAAGGAAUAUUGGUCAAUGGAGGCAACUCUGAACCAGCCAUGCCGCGUGCAGGAUGACGGCCCUAUGGGUUGUAAACUGCUUUUAUACAAGAGAAAACCCUGGUACGUGUACCAGGUUGAUAGUAUUGUAAGAAUAAGCAUCGGCUAACUUCGUGCCAGCAGCCGCGGUAAGACGAAGGAUGCAAGCGUUAUCCGGAUUCAUUGGGUUUAAAGGGUGCGUAGGCGGACUGAUAAGUCAGUGGUGAAAUCUCUUUGCUUAACAAAGAAACUGCCAUUGAUACUGUCGGUCUAGAGUAUAGAUGACGUUGGCGGAAUAUGACAUGUAGUGGUGAAAUACUUAGAUAUGUCAUAGAACACCGAUUGCGAAGGCAGCUAACGAAACUAUAACUGACGCUGAGGCACGAAAGUGCGGGGAUCAAACAGGAUUAGAUACCCUGGUAGUCCGCACCGUAAACGAUGAUUACUCGUUGUUGGCGAUAUGACAGUCAGCGACCAAGCGAAAGCGAUAAGAAUCCACCUGGGGAGUACGCCGGCAACGGUUGAACGUCGAAAGGAUGACGNGNGAGAGNGCGAGGACGACGACGAGGGAGGAGG